AAGCCACCAGCGCCUCGCAUGAGCACGACCCUGCCCCUCGAUCCCAUCUACACCUCCUUCCCGCCGCCACCUCCUGCCCCGCGCCGCCCGCCCCACACCGCCUCGAUCGGGACCGCGUCCCUCCCCAAACGACGGCAAUGAUGGAGGGCGCCGCCCAGCUCCUGGCCAACGGAUUCGCUGGCUCCCCGCACCUCGGGGCCAGCCCCUCCCCCGUGCCGAGUCGAGCAUCGACUUGGAGGCCCCUUGGGGCUGCCGCCGGUGCGGGAGUCCCGCGCGGCCGUGCGGGCUGGGGACCGAUUGGCGGGGCCCGUGGUGCGACGCUCGAUGGAUGGCCUGCACAGCGCGGACGACUGCUUCUCUCCCAGGAGGGCCAUAGGCAGCCACUACAUGUCGGAGCUGUUGCAGGAGCACCAGAAGCUUGUCCUGUUCACACAGGUACUACCAAUCUGCAUCAAACUGUUGGGCCACCGUGAGAGCCUCGAUUCGCUCCCUCGCCGCCGCCCGGUCUACCAUUAUUGGCCUAGGUCUGAUUGCUUAUGUUUCUCUCUUGUUGAUGCAAACUUGCUCUGCUUGACUCUGUUUUGGCCUCAAGGCAUCUCACUUGUCACAUAUUGUUAUCAACUCAGGUAUGGUAUCUGGAAAAAUUUUAUUCUACCAAGAGAACAUUUCUUACUUUGGUUUCUAGGCAAUAUGAAAGUAAUGAGUAAACAUAACCCGCUGAAACAAAAACAUGGUGAAGUAGCUGACUGUAGAUUUUGCUUGGAGAUGAUACUGUUCACUGUCCAUAUUUUGUUUGUAUGGUGGCUGUACUUUGUAACGCUAGCAUGGAUGUCUGUUAUAAAAUAUACAGUAUCUAGAUUUUUGCUGGGUAAAGAAAUUUGCAGCUCUGAAUACUUUAUAUUUCCCAGUUGUUCUUAAUUUCGGCAGUAUGCAUGGGAACGCUGGGAUGACGUGUUUCAGAGAAUUCAGUGGCUUGGUUCAACUAUACAAGGAUCAUUUCAACACAAAGGACUCUCGUGUUACAGCCUAUUGACCACUGCAGUGUGUACUCCUGGAAUUGAUAGCGAAUGAAAGCGCCAUAGACAUUGCAGGAGAGAUAAAAUUUCUAGAUGUUAUUAGGUCUCACCAAUUUGUACUGCUGUUCACUCUGUAGUCUGGGAUUAAUUAGCUGUGCUGCAAGGAUUCCAACUUUAAAAGUCAUGCUGCAAGGACAAGUCCUCUGUAUGAUUCUUCAGUACAGUUCAAAAUAAAUCACGAUGCAGAGCAGAUUCAGUCUUUUGAUUUUAGACAAUGAAGAGUUUCAUUGCUCUUAAGGUCUUUGUUUGCCUUUUUAGGGGAGGUCUUUGUUUGCUUGGAUUGAUGCGCACGGUUGACACAAUUUACAACAUUUUUUGACUGACGGCAUAGACCAUAGUUUCAGUUUUACAAUGUGUCCAGAGAGAGUAUAAUACUGAUGCACCAUUUAUUUCAGAGAAGAAAAAGGUUCCAUGAGGGUGUCUAUUACAGAACUGGAGAAAGAGCUCGCCUACCAUGCAUGUUGCCUGGUCCGAUGAGCAGUGCUACGCCAAGUGCCCUGUCAGAGUGCAGCCGCACAACGCUGCCUGCUGUUGAGGACCCCGGAGCCUAGACAGUUAGCUCGGCAACUUCCAGCCCCCCACCGUCUUUCUUGACAACCACGGCACCCAUCUUUUCGUCUAUGCCUCAUUGGAUGCACUUCCAUUUGUGCUACCAAACUUUUUCACGAAAAGUGUAGUACCAGUUGGUGUGAUAUCAUGUCCUCAGCAACGCCCCCGAUGGAUCGACCAUGACCAUGUUGUUGCCUGGAAUCUUUUUUCAUGAUGAUGUCGCUAUUCGUCAUCCCACAGUUUAUGCGGUGGAGCGUCAACGACCUCAGCGUGUUGCAGGAGAAGACCAUGAAUAUCGGCAAGAAAGAUGUAGGUUGAUCAAGGAAGGUGCAACACUGUGAUGUGAGUUGAACACAAGCAUGGCCUACAAUCUCGACGCCCACCAUCCAUGUGCCUUGCAAGCAGCAAUUGUUCACAUCCUUGAUAUUUGUCACUGCCCUCUUCUCAUCUAUCCCGACAGUCUCGGUGUCCAGGCAAGGUAUGUCUAUGUCAGUUGAACUGUCACUCGAGUUACAACAAUUCCAAUCUUUUUUCUAUAUCUGCAAUUGGGUGGACUAUGGUAUGAAUCAGUUUAUAAGCAACCAUGGUGUACAUGAAUCUCUGUUGGUGUGAACUGUCAAAAGCAUUUCCUACUAUUUCUACCUCUGUUUCAUCUUCUAAAUCUAGAGUCUAUACUUGGAUAUUAUCUAGCAACAAUCUGUUCAUGAGAAAAGCAUGGCUAAGAGUCAUACUAGAUGUAUGCAUAAUACCGGGACAAGAUAUUUACCUGCCAUUAUCCCAGAAGGGAAACAUAAUACUAAACUGCCAUAAAAAAUAUUUGAGGGCUUACAUCAUCGUUGAGGUCAAAUUUGUAUCUUUAUUAUCACCCUAAUAAAACAUGGUUUUGCUAAUUGACUUCAUCUUAUUUCAACUUUGUUAGUUCAGUUCACGUGCUCUGUUAGAGACCAACCCCAAUGUGUAUGCUACAACCACUGAAAGAAGUAUGUUGCCUUGAUGUUUUUAAUUCAGUUAAUUUGUAUUAAUUGUGUGGCAUCAUCAUGCAAGGUAAAUGCAGAGCUAUACUUUCUAUUCUCGUGCCUUCUAUUAAAAUCAUGCAGAUGCUCCGGUCAUCGUUGUUCAUAUGUUUUGACUCUUGUCGAGCCUCUUCUGUGAGGCACAUAGUUUGGGAGUAUGCCUAUGGCAAUUUAUCUAUUUCCAUGAUUGAAGAGACAUUUUUAAAUUGAACAAAACAAAUUAUAUGAGAGGCAUAUGUUUUGUUUUUGCUGUCCCAAACUACAGAGAGCCUUGCAAAUUUCCAGGACUCUGUUUCCUCUUGGAACUCUCCUAACUAUGCAUUCUUGAUCACUGUCGAACAUUGAUCGACAGACUGCUCUGUUUACAAACUCUAUUUUUUCUAGGUUUUCUUGUGAAAAUUGAUGAUACCCCAAUGCAGAGCCUUUUGUAGCCUUGUUGCUGGUGACAGAUUUCAGACGAUAACCUAAAUGUAGGCAUUAAACACAACAAGGUCAGGAUAUGAUAAUGGCCCAAGGUCGUGCCGACAAAUCUGGAAAUACUCUAGAACAAAAUAAUAAUCUGGCAAUGGCCCAAGAGAGCUGUUCUUGGAUUUUUGUACCCUCAUGCUAAUACUUAACUGUUACAAUUUUUAUUGUUCUUCUCA